UGAGGAAUAUUGGUCAAUGGGCGAGAGCCUGAACCAGCCACGUCGCGUGAAGGAAGACUGACCUUACGGUUUGUAAACUUCUUUUGUAGAGGGGUAAUGGCAGAUACGUGUAUUUGCGUGAAAGUACUCUACGAAUAAGCAUCGGCUAACUCCGUGCCAGCAGCCGCGGUAAUACGGGGGAUGCGAGCGUUAUCCGGAAUUAUUGGGUUUAAAGGGUGCGCAGGUGGCUAAUCAGGUCAGUGGUGAAAAGCUAUGGCUCAACCAUGGUCUUGCCAUUGAAACCGUAUAGCUAGAGAGGAGACGAGGUAGGCGGAAUGUGUGGUGUGGCGGUGAAAUGCAUAGAUAUCACACAGAACUCCGAUUGCGAAGGCAGCUUACCAGGCUUUAUCUGACACUUAGGCACGACAGCGUGGGGAUCAAACAGG
rnacentral:rRNA from 1 species